UACGAAGGGGGCUAGCGUUGCUCGGAAUCACUGGGCGUAAAGCGCACGUAGGCGGACUCUUAAGUCGGUGGUGAAAUCCUGGAGCGCAACUCCAGAACUGCCUCCGAUACUGGGAGCCUUCGAGUCCGGGAGAGGUGAGUGGAACUGCGAGUGUAGAGGUGAAAUUCGUAGAUAUUCGCAAGAACACCAGUGGCGAAGGCGGCUCACUGGUCCGGUACUGACGCUGAGGUGCGAAAGCGUGGGGAGCAAACAGG
rnacentral:rRNA from 1 species